UACGUAGGGUGCGAGCGUUAAUCGGAAUUACUGGGCGUAAAGGGCGCGUAGGCGGCCACUGCAAGUCGGUUGUGAAAUCUCCGGGCUUAACCCGGAAAGGUCAAUCGAUACUGCAGGGCUAGAGUGCGGAAGGGGCAACUGGAAUUCUCGGUGUAGCGGUGAAAUGCGUAGAUAUCGAGAGGAACACCUGCGGCGAAGGCGGGUUGCUGGGCCGACACUGACGCUGAAGUGCGAAAGCUAGGGGAGCGAACGGG
rnacentral:rRNA from 1 species